UUAUGCAAGCAAAGUAACCCAAACAAUUUUAUUUCCAUGUCUUUAAUUAUUUUUCCCCACCUUCGUUGCCUUUUCCCCACGCACAUGAUGGCAUGCUAUCCGACUAUUUUACUCCCAUUUCCCAGCACAACCCAAACCACACCAACAAAAAUCAAAUUGAAAUUGAAAAUUGAACCUUACGCGUCCCCAACCCCAAAGCACUAUUUUAAAAACCGCAGUAACUCCGAAAAAGACAACAACACAACACAACACAACAAACAACCUUUCAUUUCACCAUCAUACCAAAUACACUUUCAACCCUUCUACUCCUAA